GGAGAGGUGCCAGAGUGGUCGAAUGGGCUCGCCUGGAAAGCGAGUGUACCGGUAACGGUACCAAGAGUUCGAAUCUCUUCUUCUCCG
rnacentral:tRNA from 1 species